GAUGAACGCUGGCGGCGUGCCUAAUACAUGCAAGUCGAACGCUUCACAUAUGUGAAGAGUGGCGAACGGGUGAGUAAUACAUAAGUAACCUGGCCUUUACAGGGGGAUAACUGUUGGAAACGAUAGCUAAGACCGCAUAGGUGUCAUAACCGCAUGGAGAUGAUAUGAAAUAUGCUACGGCAUAGGUAGAGGAUGGACUUAUGGCGCAUUAGCUAGUUGGAGGGGUAACGGCCCACCAAGGCGACGAUGCGUAGCCGACCUGAGAGGGUGACCGGCCACACUGGGACUGAGACACGGCCCACACUCCUACGGGAGGCAGCAGUAGGGAAUUUUCGGCAGUGGGGGAAACCCUGACCGAGCAACGCCGCGUGAAGGAAGAAGUAAUUCGUUAUGUAAACUUCUGUCAUAGAGGAAGAACGGUGCGUGUAGGGAAUGACAUGCAAGUGACGGUACUCUAUAAGAAAGCCACGGCUAACUACGUGCCAGCAGCCGCGGUAAUACGUAGGUGGCGAGCGUUAUCCGGAAUUAUUGGGCGUAAAGAGGGAGCAGGUGGCACUAAGGGUCUGUGGUGAAAGAUCGAAGCUUAACUUCGGUAAGCCAUGGAAACCGUAGAGCUAGAGUGUGUGAGAGGAUCGUGGAAUUCCAUGUGUAGCGGUGAAAUGCGUAGAUAUAUGGAGGAACACCAGUCCCGAAGGCGACGAUCUGGCGCAUAACUGACGCUCAGUCCCGAAAGCGUGGGGAGCAAAUAGGAUUAUAUACCCUAGUAGUCCCAGCCCUUAAAACGAAGAGUAAUAAAGUGUGGGGGGCAAAAUCUCAGUGCUGCAGUUACGCCAAUAAAUAUUCCGCCUAGGUAGGACGUUCGCAAGAAAGAAAAAUCAAAGGAAUUGACGGGGGCCCGCCCAAGCGGUGGAGCAUGUGGUUAAAUUCGAAGCAAAGCGAAGAACCUUACCAGGUCUGACCAUCGAUCUAAAGGCUCCAGAGAUGGAGAGAUAGGCUAUAGAGAAGACAGGUGGUGCAUGGUUGUCGUCAGCUCGUGUCGUGAGAUGAUGGGUUAAGUCCCGCAACGAGCGCAACCCCUGUUGCCAGUCGCCAGCAUUAAGUUGGGGACUCUGGCGAGACUGCCGGUGACAAGCCGGAGGAAGGCGGGGAUGACGUCAAAUCAUCAUGCCCCUUAUGACCUGGGCUACACACGUGCUACAAUGGACAGAGCAGAGGGAAGCGAAGCCGCGAGGUGAAGCGAAACCCAGAAAACUGUUCUCAGUUCGGACUGCAGUCUGCAACUCGACUGCAAGAAGUUGGAAUCGCUAGUAAUCGCGAAUCAGCAUGUCGCGGUGAAUACGUUCUCGGGCCUUGCACA
rnacentral:rRNA from 1 species